GAUGAACGCUGGCGGCGUGCUUAACACAUGCAAGUCGAACGUGAGGGGGAGCAAUCUCCUGAAAGUGGCGAACGGGUGAGUAACACGUAGGUGACCUGCCUCGGAGUGGGGGAUAACAGUUGGAAACGACUGCUAAUACCGCAUGGCUUGGGUAAACCGGGAGGUUUGCUUGAGAAAACUCUGGUGCUCUGAGAGGGGCCUGCGUCCGAUUAGCUAGUUGGUGAGGUAAAGGCUCACCAAGGCGAUGAUCGGUAGCUGGUCUGAGAGGACGAUCAGCCACACGGGAACUGAGAAACGGUCCCGACUCCUACGGGGGCAGCAGUGAGGAAUAUUGGGCAAUGGGCGGAAGCCUGACCCAGCAACGCCGCGUGGAGGAUGAAGGCCUUCGGGUCGUAAACUCCUUUUAUGGGGGAAGAGUGAGGACGGUACCCUAGGAAUAAGUCACGGCUAACUACGUGCCAGCCGCCGCCGUAAUAC
rnacentral:rRNA from 1 species